GAUGUGUUUGUGUCCCGUUUCUCCUAGUAUUUGUUGGUGUCAAACACAAUUUCAUCAGAGCAGUGUCUGUAGUUGUCCUCAGAGGCCGUGAGAGCCCUCUCCGAUUUUUCAUCUGAAUCCCUGCUAGAGGCCGUUCAUCACCAACUUCCGGCUGUCAGGUAUUUAAGAACGCGUCUCAGAGAAAUGUGGAGGUGGCUGUGCUGACUUUCUCGUAGGGUCUCCUUCUUGAUGUGUGGAAGAAUGGAAUAGGAAAGAGCUGGUUGAAUCUUGCCGUCCUGAUUGAAACCAUGUAAAGUGGGUCAUAUUGCAGAAUGGAUCCAGUUUGCAUGACUUCAGGGAAAUGUGGGAUUAAAUGGAGGGAGACCUGAUGUUUCAGUCAGGUGACAGGUCAUACCCUGGAAGGAGCUGGAAUGGCACUGUACAUUAA